GGAUAUAUUGCAUUUAUUUGUAACUAUCUUUUUAUCUGAAAUUUAUCAAAUGAAAGUAUUUAGUAACUAAUUUUGUCUUUUAUUUUUAUUUAGCGUAAGUAGGAUGGAUUGUAGUAAUUGAGUUCUAAAUACAAAAAAUACUUACUAAUUUUUUUCUUUUUUAACAGUCUAGGCUGAAAUUUACCUGUUUGAAAAAAAGAACCAAUGGAGUUGUUAAUUAGCAGUGACAUGAUUUAAGAGACAAUAACCAGAAAAGAAAUAAGUAAAAACCACGUAGGAAACUUCUCUGUGAUUGAUCUGCACUCUUAAAUUGUAUUUAAGUAUGCGUGUGUCCUGUGGCAGUAGCUGCUCUAGUUUUAACACUGGCCUCUAUUUAAAAGGCAGCCUCAUCAAGAUACUUACAGUAUUUCUCAGCCAAGCACAGAAAUCAAAUAACGGUCCCUCCAGAUAACAGCCACAGACUUGAAUCCUAUGUAUAAUCUUAGUAACCCAAUAAAAUAACUUAUUUGAAGUAAACUCUAUUGGAUUAACAUACAGUUUCUAUAUGAAACUGGCCUCUUCAUUACAUUGUUUGCCACAGGCUUCUUAAUCUGUAAAGUCUGAAAAGAACAAUUUUUUGUUUUUACUGAAAAACAGUUUUAUGUUAAUAUUUGUUGUCCUGUAUGUUGUCUAUUAGUAGACUGGUUAUCCUUGAAAACAAAGACUUUGAUAGCUGUUUGUUAGUGUAAGUGGAUAAAAUGUGGAAUACUUCUGUAUUUAACAUAAAGUAAGCUUGUGAGUAGUUUAUAUUUCACCUGAUUAUACUUAAACUAUGAAAAUAUUAUCAGUAAAACUUUUAUUUAAAAGACACCUUAUUUCCAGAAUUAUUAAUGGCAUAGAUGCAUAACCAAGACAAAAAACAAAGGAAACAAAGAAGCUUUGCAGUCCCAAAUGAUAACAUGCAAUUUGGAUAAGGACAAAA
rnacentral:lncRNA from 1 species